rnacentral:rRNA from 1 species
CCUACGGGAGGCAGCAGUGAGGAAUAUUGGACAAUGGGCGCAAGCCUGAUCCAGCCAUGCCGCGUGCAGGAAGAAGCAUCUAUGGUGUGUAAACUGCUUUUGUACAGGAAGAAACACUCCCUCGUGAGGGAGCUUGACGGUACUGUAAGAAUAAGGACCGGCUAACUCCGUGCCAGCAGCCGCGGUAAUACGGAGGGUCCGAGCGUUAUCCGGAAUCAUUGGGUUUAAAGGGUCCGUAGGCGGUUUAAUAAGUCAGUGGUGAAAUCUGGUCGCUCAACGAUCAAACGGCCAUUGAUACUGUUAGACUUGAAUUAUAAGGAAGUAACUAGAAUAUGUAGUGUAGCGGUGAAAUGCUUAGAUAUUACAUGGAAUACCAAUUGCGAAGGCAGGUUACUACUUAUGGAUUNACGCUGAUGGACGAAAGCGUGGGGAGCGAACAGGAUUAGAUACCCUGGUAGUCCACGCCGUAAACGANAGAGUACUAGUCUGUUCGGUAGACAAUACUGAGUGGUCGUAGACGAAGUAGAGUAAGUAUACCUACCGUACGGGAGGUACGUUCGCGAAGAAGUAGUAAACGUUAAAAGUUAGUAAGUUAGUACGGUACGUGUAGGACGUACGGACCGAACGGACGACCGACCGGAGGGGAGGGUUAGGG